ACAAGUGUAAGUGUUACACACAAAGAGUUAUAAUUAAGAAGAAAAUGGCCAAAUUGUUCAUGGCUUUGCUCUUGGCUCUUGUGGCCACUCAUGCCCUAGCUAGACCUACACCAAAGGAUGACACUUUCAGUGACCAAAAGAACUUCCUGACCUAUGGAGGCGUCGGUGGUUACUCUGGCAUCGGCAACAAUGGCCUCCCGUUUGGUGGUCUAGGGGGUGCCAUUGGGGGAGGAGGCCUUGGUGGCGGUCUUGGUGGUGGUCUUGGUGGUGGCCUCGGUGGCGGUACGGGAAUUGGUGGAGGACUAGGUGGACUGGGAGGUCCUGGAGGUGGAUUCGGUGGCAUUGGUGGAACCACUGGCGGUCUUGGCGGUGGUCUCGGGGGUGGACUCGGUGGUGGUCUCGGUGGCGGUGUCGGUGGAGCUUCUGGUGUUACUUAUCCUUGAAUAGUUAUUUAGUUAUGCUUGUUGAUUUUUACUCAAAAAGUUCUUGCAGUUUAAAGUUUGUUUGAUUAAUAUUGUGUCAAGAGAUGUAGUUGUUUAGUUGUUGCUUAAUGACCUUAUAGCAUUUGGUUGUGUUUGGUUUUCUAUUUAAAUUUGGUUGUGAUUAUCUUUUGUUUGUUCACUUUUGUCAGUAUAAAACAAACAUCUGCUUUAGCUGUUCCUUUUUUUUUUUCGGUUUAUAUAUUUAUUUUAUAUUUAAUGAAAAAUGAAUGGGUUGUAUGCA
rnacentral:lncRNA from 1 species